rnacentral:rRNA from 1 species
UACGUAGGGGGCGCGCGUUGUCCGGAAUUAUUGGGCGUAAAGAGCGUGUAGGCGGUUUGGUAAGUCUGCCGUGAAAACCCGGGGCUCAACCCCGGGCGUGCGGUGGAUACUGCCAGGCUAGAGGAUGGUAGAGGCGAGUGGAAUUCCCGGUGUAGCGGUGAAAUGCGCAGAUAUCGGGAGGAACACCAGUAGCGAAGGCGGCUCGCUGGGCCAUUCCUGACGCUGAGACGAGAAAGCUAGGGGAGCGAACAGGAUUAGAAAACCCCGUAGUCC